GCCAAUGAGAGGUCAGCAUCACUUUCCUAAUUUAGUGUUGGCAUAUGUUGUUAGCCAAAACAUGAAUCCUAGAUCUCCAAACUACAAAACCACAAUGCCUUCAAGUGUGAAGGAAAGAUAUUUUGUAGUUUGUUAUGGGUGCUUUACUCCCUCUGCUCCAUUCCUCUCUCUCUUAAAUGACAUGGCUUAGCACUGAAGCAAAUUCCAGCUUUGCCUUUGUCCUUGCGUGGUUCAAAAUUACUACAUUUCUGCCUCUUUGUUAAUUACUCUUAACCCAUUCUAGUACCUGCCCAUGAAAAGAUUUAACAGGGGAUAGUGUGUUGAAAAUGUUCCAGCAGUUUCCUUCAGAAGAGCUGAUGGCUCAGUAACUAUGAAUGAAAAAGUUUAACAAGUUAAUCUUGUUUAACUUCAUCUUAUCCCAUAUUGCUGUUGUGAAGUAAUAUCAUUUUAUUUGUUAUCUGUUUGAAAAUCCUCUUAGAUUCCUGGUUUCCUGUGAAUGACGAUUUCAUCCUCAUUAAAAUGCAGUUAUGCCAGAUUUUGCUCAAGU
rnacentral:misc_RNA from 1 species